rnacentral:rRNA from 1 species
GGAAGGGUUGUAUUUAUUAGAUAAAGAACCAAUAUAAUUGGUGACUCAUAAUAACUUUACGGAUCACAUUAAAUGUGACAUAUCAUUCAAGUUUCUGACCUAUCAGCUUUAGACGGUAGGGUAUUGGCCUACCGUGGCAAUGACGGGUAACGGGGAAUUAGGGUUCGAUUCCGGAGAGGGAGCCUGAGAAACGGCUACCACAUCUAAGGAAGGCAGCAGGCGCGCAAAUUACCCAACCCUAAUACAGGGAGGUAGUGACAAGAAAUAACAAUACAGGACUUUUUGGUUUUGUAAUUGGAAUGAGUUAAGUAUAAACCCCUUUACAAGUAUCAAUUGGAGGGCAAGUCUGGUUCCAGCAGCCGCGGUAAUUCCAGCUCCAAUAGCGUAUAUUAAAGUUGUUGCAGUUAAAAAGCUCGUAGUUGGAUUUCUGUUAAUAAUUUAUAUAAAAUAUUUUGUUGAAUAUUUAUAUAAUAUUAACAUAAUUCAUAUUACUAUAUAUUUUAGUAUAUGAAAUUUUACUUUGAGAAAAUUAGAGUGCUUAAAGCAGGCAUAUGCCUUGAAUACUCCAGCAUGGAAUAAUAUUAAAGAUUUUUAUCUUUCUUAUUGGUUCUAAGAUAAGAAUAAUGAUUAAUAGGGACAGUUGGGGGCAUUUGUAUUUAACAGUCAGAGGUGAAAUUCUUAGAUUUGUUAAAGACAAACUAAUGCGAAAGCAUUUGCCAAGGAU